rnacentral:lncRNA from 1 species
GCAAAAUUGUUGAGCCAAGGUCCUGGAACUGUGAGUAAGAAAAUGACAAACCCAUCUCUCAGUGGCACCCCUACUGCAGGAGUUGAGCACUCAUUAGAGAAGCAGGAAAUGGACCUGAAUAUCCUCUUAGCAGCCAUGACUGGAUGCCAAAUGGGACAAAGAAGAACUUUGAAUAUGACAUCACACUACCUCCUGCACUGUGGUUCCUGAUAAGAAAUCAGCCAUUCAUCUUACUGAGACUCCUUGAUUGGUGCCCUCAUAAGAAGAGAAAGACACACCAAAGCACUUCCUUUGAUGUGAAGAUACAGUGAUAAGGUAGCACUUUCCAGGAUCUUACUGUUACCCAGGAUGAAGUACUGUGGCAUGAUCACAGCUCCCUGAAGCCUCAACCUCUCCAAGCUCAGGUGAUUUCUUCCACCUCAGCCUCCAAAGUAGCUGGGACUACAGGCAUGCGCCACUACACCCAGCUAAUUUUUUUGUGUGUUUUGGAGAGAUAGGGUUUCAUCAUGUUGCCCAGGCUGGUCUGAAACUCCUGGACUCAAGCAAUCUACCCACCUGGGCCUCCCAAAGUGCUAGGAUUACAGGCAUGAGCCACUACGCCCAGCAAGGUAAUGAUUAAACUAAAAGUAAUUGAAAUAUUGGCAUCUUGAUUUAUAUAAUAUGUAUUUAUCAGUUUUUCUAUUAUAAGAGGACAAAUAAGACAGAAAGUUGGUAGUCAAGUCAGUCAAAACAAGACAGUGUCUAAUUUGAGAUUAUAAACAUUAUAAUGCAUGAGAAAAACCAAACGCACUUCACAUUAAAGGUAUUUUUUAUGCAUUCACACUGGCGAGCAUCGAAGUUUACCUUUAUUGACACAUAAAAAGUUAUUGUAGAUUGUUAUGACACAUUAUUUCUUGCUGCCUUUUUUAUCUUAAUGACUUUCGCAAAACAAUGUGAUAUAAAUUGCUACUAGCAUAAAACACAUUCCAGCAAUAGAUAAAAACAGUUUCUUGGCUGCAAGAAGCAUAUAUUUCAACACCUGCUUCAGGCACAAUACAUUGAAAUUUAUGCCCUCUACUGUUAUUUGAGUAAUGCUCUUUCUGUUGUUUCUCACUGGGGAACUACAAUACUAAUAUCUUAAUUUUUCAGACAUCAAUAUUAGUUUAAUGAGUGAGACAUAAUUGCAAAACUUGCUAAUAAGGUACAAACCAAAAAGUCUUUAAAAAAAUUGCAAAAUCAGCAACUUGAAAGAGUUUUCGAACUUUAAAAUUGAUAAAUCAUACUCUGUUUAAAAUUAAAGUCAAUAAAAAGAGUAUUUUUUCCGUAUCAGUUGAUUUUCUAUAGGCUUAACGCCUAUACUGCACUAUAAAUUCACUCAAUAAAGGUCUUUUCUAAAAAAAAUUUUUAUAAAAUAAAAUAACCUGUACACACUAUGUUUUAUUAAUUAAAAAUAUUAAGAGAUAAUUUUAAAUGCCAUCUUACACUAAUUUCUGGAACUAUAAAGAGAAAUAUUUCACCAUCAUAGACCUCAAAGGCAGUCUUUACAGGAUUCAGACAAUACGUCCAACAUAGGAAGUGUUAUGGGUAAGGUGAGAGGGCUCUGGGGGGUAUUAGUUAUGGGGUGUGGAUGGGUCAGAGAAAAUUUCCCAGGGUAGGUAAUAUCUACAUUGCUUGAGUAACAGUUAUUCCUACGGUGUUACAGAGAGCCAUGACUACAAAAGCUCAGGGCUUAGAGAGAACCUGAGAGAUUCUGCCAACUUCAGAUACUUUUGCCUGGGUUGAAUGUGGAUGUGAAGGAGAGAAAAUUGGUGAGGAACACCUCAGGGAACACAUCAUGUACCAUAUUAAAGAGAUUGGAUUUAUCCUAAAAGCUACAGGGAGCUAACAAAGAAAGGCUGUAAUGGAGGACACUGAUGUGUUCUGAUUUGUGGCUCGCGCUGGUAACAAUAUCAAGAGUGGAUGCAGGGCAUGGGGAUGUGACAGUUGUUGUAUCAAUUAUUGCAGUAAAUGACAAGGGCCAGAAUUUAAACAAAUAUGAAAUGUCAGUAGGGAUAGAAUUUUUCUAUCAAAAAUAAUUAGGCUUUCCAACUAUGCUUAAUAAAUUUAAUAUGUUGAAUAGCUUGCAGAGAAUAAAAUGAGUGUGUAGUGGAUAUAAUGUGGAAGAUACAGAUCAAUAGUACACAUAUUUAUAAAGAUAUAUUCUCCUCAGUCCAAGAAUGAAUAUCAUUUUGGCCAAAAUCCAUUACCAAGCAGCUGUGUUACCCACAUUUAAUUCUGUGGGCUUUGCCUGUUUUAAUUUGAACAGCAGAACCUGUGAGGUAGGGGCUCUUAUUCCUCUUAUAAGAAACUGAGUUAUAUAGAGGUGUGUGAGUUUCCAAGGCUUCAUAGCAGAUUCUGGAAUGAAAACAUGUCUGUCUUCAGAGACAAUGGUUGUAAUAAUUAUGCAAUAUGCCCCAUCUUCUAAUUCAAAUAUUUGGAAUGCUCUGCCUACUACUACAGUUAAUUCCACACCAAAGCUGAAAUUACUUAUAGUAGGUAAGACUUCCAUGAGCUAAGUGAUUGAAUCCUGGCUUAUGUAAAGCCAUCAGGUAAUAGACACAGAUUUAGCUGCAGGUGCCAUGCUGCACAUUUGCAGCUUAAUGACCAAAGAGGGCUGAUGAGUAGUCAUGGUGGCAAUCAUUGCUACAAGGAAAGGAGAUGGAAAUGAGGACAGACUGCUGUGAUGGGAGACAGAGGUUGGAAGCACUAAUAUCAUCAAUAUUAAUGCCAGUUGCAAUGUGAGCUCAGUGCCAGGGAGGCUGGUGAAGUGGACACCCAUGAGAGGCUAAUAGCUACAUCUAAUCAUCAAAGGGCAGAUGUUAAAUGUGAUUCAGAGGAAAGUGAGAGGAAGUGCUAACAAUGGCACAGAUGAAGAGAUAGGCUGAUACACGUGGUGAAAAUUGUCUAACACAAGCAUUAUCUUGGAGGAAAGAAGAGCAGAAGGGAGGGGAAGUUAUUCCUCAAAAUCCAUAAUUUUUUUUAAUUAGUCCAAGCCAGGCGCAAGAAAAACAACAUAACAAAUAUUUAAACACAUUUACAAACCCCAAUAAUUAAACAAAAAGUCAAAGCAAGUGAUUUUUUUCAAAGGAAAUACUGUGGUGUUAUCAUGGAAAUAUGUCUUUUAAAACAUCUUUAUCGAGUGAAAAAAAGAAUAUAAAUAAAAAUGGCAAAAAAAUCUCAAUGCUGCCAUUCUUUUUGUGUGUGUAUCCACAUAUCUAGAGAUCAUCUUAUAUAGAGUGCCUCUUCUCAUCUCCUUUGAGCUUUUGUGUUUUGUUGCUAAGGGAUGUUGAUGAGGCUAGCAGGAAUUUAUCAUCAGUGUGUUGAAGUGGAAGAUAGUAGAUGUUGUUAAUCUGUAGAUUGUAGAGCUCUUCCUACAGUGCUUCAAUCAGUUUACCUGUUAACACAAAAGAUUCCUAUUUCAAAAAAUGCAAAACUGUACGUAAUAGUGUGCCUGAGAGCAUUCAAAUGUAUUUAACUUUGACCUUCCUCAUCACUUCCAAUUGAGUAAACAAUCUUCCAAUGCUGCUGACAGCACCACUCAGUAAUAUUACUGUAACUAGUACAAGUCAUAUUCCCAGGCCAAAAGUAAAAAUUUCUUAGGGUGUCUGAUCUGUAGUUGCAGCAGCUAGUGAAUUUCUACCAGAGAUAAAUAUUUUUAAAAGCAAAAUUGAAACAACCAUCUCAACUAUUCACAAUCCGACAGCCAAAAGCUAAAUUAUCCUCCAAAUUGGAGAGGAACUCUACCAAGACUGAAAAUAAAAAGUUAUGAAGACCUGGCUUAUAGUAAUGUUUAGCAUUAGAGCAAUUGUACUUUUUUAUACAACAAGAUACACAUCACAUUUACUUCAUAUAAAUAAGAAUAGAUGAGAUAUGUGAAGAAGCGAAGUAAAUUAUGGGAAAAAAUAUAAGAUGAUAGACUAUAAGGGUAAAACAGGUGCAUUAAUAUUAAAAGUAGUGAAGACAUAGAUGUGAGACUUUCAUAAACAAUAUGUUAUAUAUAAAACAAAACAGAAAUACUGGAAUGGUGGAAAGAAGAACAAGACUUCAGCAGCUUUAGAUCCUAGUAUUGCCCUCAACUUGCAUUAUCCACUCCUAUUCUUUAUAAAUCUCAAAAGAGCUUCUAAUUUAGUUAAGUUGAUUGCCUUCCAUAAAGGUUAUCUAUAUCCUCACCUAGAAGAGUGAAAGGAAUGAUGCAAGAAGUUAACAACUAUUUGUUGAGUUAAAGAAUUAAUGUAGCCUAAAACAGGUCUUUUGAUUCCUAUACUUACAACUUUGUUUCUAUAUUUCACCUUUUAAGUCGUCUUCUUUGAAUGUUACUCAAAUGAUUCCAGAUCCCUCUAAAAGUCCUUACCUAUGGUAAGACAUUUUUGGGCAGUUUUAGCCCCAAAUAAUUUACCUUGUAAAAUUAUAUUUAUUUUUGUUUCUAUUAAUGUAACAAAUUAUAUACUGUAUGAGAACAUUUUAAUGGUUAUUUUGUGGUACAUAUGUAUAGAGUCUUCAAUGUUUGUAUAUAAGUGCUAUGAUCUGAAAGUUUGUGUCCCCCCAGAAUUUACGUAUUGAAACCUAAUAUGAUGGUAUUAAAAGAUGGAACCUUUGGGAGGCGAUUAGGUCAUGUGUGUAGGACGAUUAUGAAUGGGAUUAACGCCCUUAUAAAAGAGACUCCAGAGAACUAGCUUGAACUUUUCAUGUGAGGAAACAGCAAGAAGGUACCAUCUUUAAACCAAAACAGGAAAGGGGCCUUCACCAGAAACAAAACUUGCUGGUGCCUUUAUCUUGGACUUUCCAGCCUCCAAAACUGUGACAAGUAAAUUUCUGUUUAUGAGUUACCAAGUCUAUGAUAUUUUGUUACAGCAGUUUAAACAAACUAGGACAAUUUAUGUAUAUCUAUUCAAUGUCAUGGUAAGUUUUUUGAAAGUCAAGAGCUCAUCACUAUAUAUUUGGUAUAUUUACUUAGUGCCCAGCAUAUUUUUGUGUCAUGAUAUGUGUACAGAAACAUUGAAAGAAUAAUGCAAUAACCAUUGAAACAAGGAUGGAAUUACAAAAAAAAAAAAAGAGAAAGAGCUCUGUGAAGACAAGUUCCAGACUCUUUUGCAUAUAUUACUUAAGGAAAUUAAAGAAAGUGAUUAUUAAAUAAUUUUUCUUCAAAUUAAGUUAGAAGAGAAAAUACUGAUAAUACUACAACUACAGAUUUGCUCAGCAAAGCAUUUACAAAGAUACUUUCCUAUAGUAAGAGAGAACUCUUUCUAAAAUUGGUGCUGUAAGCAGUUAAGUAAAUUAAACAAUAACCAAAACAUUCAAGUACUAUUUUAACUUGAUGCAUCAAAAAUUACAUUAGCUUGUAAACAAAUAAUAAAAAUAUUUUUGUAAAUUUUGCCUUUGUUUUUAUUUGAUAUAUCCAUUUCAACAGACAAAAUGCAUACAUUAGGUUUAACCCAAUAAAAUAAACUUGAAAGAAUGGUUGGUAAUAAACAAAGGAGGACAAAGAAAAUGAGAGAUGACAUCAUAAGAGAGUAACUGUGAACAAUAUCUUGAAAGUUGAAAAACACUGUCUUCAGUAGAACAAGGACAGCUGAAACAUAAAUGCUUACUAAAAGGGAUAGUUAUAAGAAACAAGCUGAAUCACCAUGUAUGACAUAAGAGAUGCUCAGGAUUGGACAACCUGUUGCUGUAGAAGAAUGAAAUAAACUUAAGAAUAUACCUUGAUUGAAACUCUGUGGAGCAGUUUGACUUCUGGCACGCCCACUGAUCUAGUGGCAGCUUAAGCCAUUCUAUUCUCCAAUCAUCAUAGAAAAUCUGAGUUUUUUUCCUUAUAGAAAUUUGUUCUGAGUUGAGAAUACUAGGCUGGUAAGAAGAGGCAUAGGGAUGACAUGGUAUUUCAGCAAGCUGAAGAGUAUAAGCCACAUCGUUUAUGAACCAAUUGACAUUAAGUUCCCAAUAUUCACUGUUAGACCAGCAAAAGCCUGGCUUACUUCCUCUUCCCAUUGCAGGAAGCUUAUCAUGCUCCAAGUACAUCCCACCACAAUCUGAGCUUGCAAGAAACUUUUAAAUUCUUCAUGAUGAGAUAUGAGUGGAGAGCAAUGAUUUUUAUACAUUUGGUGAGAAAACUAACAUCAAACAGAGUGACAAAAACAAUUGAAUUAAUAACAAGAAUAAUUAAUGGCAGGUCAAUGAGCUCAUUCCAAUUCAGUGUUUUACUUCUGGUGCUUACUAUAAGUAAUCCCAAGAAAGGGAAGCAACGAGACAGCAUUUAAGUUCUGAUACUAAGUGGUAAAGAUCUAACACCACUAAAGCUCACUUGCAAAAAUUAGAAGAGGUGGCUGUCUCCUCAAAUACAUAGGCAUCAUUGUAAAGAUGCAAGAAUCUUGAAAACUCAGAGAAAUUUAACAUAACCAAAAAAAAAAAAAAAAGAAAGAAAGAAAGAAAAAAAAAAAAAAACAAUGCUCCAGCAAUGAAUCCAGAAUUCAGGAUCUCUGAAAUGUCUGACAGAUAAUUCAGAAGAAGUUCAGAGAAUCACAAGAAAAUACGUAUAAAAAACUAAAUAAAAUUUGGAAAACAAUACAGAAACAAAAGAUAAUUGAGAAAGAAAUAGAAACAAUUAAAAAAGGAAAUCCUAGAAAUGAGUAAUUUAAUAACUGGACACAAACUCAUUAGAAAUUUUCAACAUCAAACUUGAUCAAACAGCAAAAGAAUAAGCAAGCUUAAUGACAGAACAUAUGAAAUUACCCAAUCAGAGGAGAAAAAAAAGAAAAGAAUAAAAAAGAGUGAAGAAGGCCUAUGAGGAUUAUAGGACACAUCAAUAAAUUAAUAUCCACCUACUAUGAAUUCCUGAAGGAGGUGAGAGAGAAAAAGGCCUUGAAAGCAAUUUUAAGAUAAAUAGUGACUGAAAAUUUUCCAAAUCUGGAGAAAGAUGACAGCAUUCAAACACAGGAGCCUCAGAGGACACCCAUGAAAUUCAACCCAAAGAGGAAUUUCCCAAACACGUCAUAAUCAAAUUAGUUUAAAAAAAUAAGAAUUCUCAAGGCAUCUAGAGGAAAGAAACAUAUCACAUUCAUCGCAGCCCAAAUAGGGCUUUCAACAAAUUACUCAGUAGAAACCUUGUGUGUCAGAAGAAAGUGGGAUGCUAUAUGCAAAGUGCUAAAGAAAGAAAAAAAAAGUGCCAAUCAAGGAUAUUGUACACAGCAAAGCUAAUGCUCAAAUAAAAAAGAGAAAUAAAGACUUUCCUUUCUCAGAUAAACAAAAGCUGAGGGAAUUUAUCAACAGUAGGCCUGUAUUACAAAAAAGUAUUAAAAGGAGUUAUUUAAUCUGAGAGAAAUAAUAAUGGACACUAACAUGUAACAAAGAAACAUCUAAAGGUAUUAAACUCACUGGUGAAAAAAUAAAACAAAUUCAGAAUAGUUUAAUACCUUAAUUGGUGUAAAUAAAUCACUUGCAUUUAAGUAUAAAGAAUAAAAGAUAAAACUAUUCAAAAGAAUAGUAACUACAACAAUUGGUUAAGAGAUAAGUCAUAUAAAAAGGUAUAAAAUGAAACAUCAAAAAGAAAAAAAUGUGGUGCUAACCUGAAGAAUUUCUUUUCGUUGCUUUUAUUUGUGAUUAAAGUUAAGUCAUUAUCAGUUUAAAAACUAAUUAUAAGAUUUUUUUUUGUAAUUCUCAUGGUAACCACAAAGCAAAAACCUGUAAUAGAUAUACUAAAAAUAAAUAGCAUAGAAUGCAAACAUGCUAAUAGACAAAAUCACUUAACCACAAGAGAGGUAAAAAGGAAGAAAUGAUUUGCAAAAUAACCAGAAAACAAAUAACAAAAUAUAAACAGUAAACCUUUAUCUAGCAAUAAUAACCUUGAAUAUAAAUGAAUUCAACUCUACAAUUAAAAGUGAUAGAGUGGCUAAAUGGAUUUUAGAAAGACUCAAGUAUAUACUGUGUACAAGAGACUCACUUCAUUUAUAAAGAUACUCACACACCGAAAAUAAGAGGUGGAAAAAUAUAUGCCAGGAAAAUCAAAGACAAAGAAAAGUAAGAGUAGCUAUACUUAGACAAGAUAGACUUUAAGUCAAGAAUAGUUAAAAACAAAAAGGCACAGAAGACCAUUAUGCAAUGAUAAAGAGGUCGAUAGAGAAAGAAGAUAUAACAAUUGUAAAUAUAUAUGCAUCCAAACACAAGAAUAUGCAAAUACAUAAAACAAAUAUUAACAGACCUAAAAGGAGAAAUUGGCUGUAAUAUAAUAAUGGUAGAAAAGUUCAACACCCCACUUUAAGCAAUGAACAGAUUAUUCAGCAGAAUUUUUAUUUAAAAUUGAAUUUAAACUUCUCUCUAGACCAAAUGAACCUAACAGAUAUUUAUAUAACAUUCCAUCCAACAGCUGCCCAAUACACAAUUUUCACAACAGCUUAUAAAACAUUCUCCAAAAUAGAACAUAUGUUAGGUUACAAAACAAGUCUGAACAAAUUUUUAAAAAUGGAAAUCAUAUCAAGUAUAUUCUCUGACCACAAUGGAAUAAAGUUUGAAAUCACAACAGAAGGAACAUUGGAAACCAUACAAAUUUAUGGAAAUUAAACAGUAUGUUCCUGAACAAUGAGUAAGUCAAAGAAAAAAUUAAAAACAAAAUUUAAAAAUUCCCUGAGACAAAUGAAAAUGGAAACACUCUUACCAAAACCAAUGGGAUACAGCAAAAGCAGUUCUAAAUGAGAAGUUGGUAACUAUAAGCACCUACAUAAAAAAGUAGAAAGACUUCAAAUAAAAAACCUAAUGAUGUACCUCACAAAACUAGAAAGCAAAAACAAGCCAAACCAAAAUUAGUAGAAGGAAAGAAAUAAUAAAAAUCAGAGCAGAAAUAAAUGAAAUUGAGACCAAAAAUGCAAAAGAUCAACAAAACAAAAAAGUUGUUUUUUUAAAAAAACAAAAUUGGCAAACAAUUUACCAGAUUCAGAAAAAGAGAAAAGACCCAAAUAAAUAAAAUCAGAGACCAAAAGGAGAUUUAAAAGUGAUGCCACAGAAUUACAAAAGAUUAUCACAAAUAUAAAAAAAAAAUGCCUACAAAUCAUAAAACCUAGAAGAAAUGGAUACAUUUCUGGACUCACACGACCUACCAAAAUUGUACCAAGAAGAAACAGAAAACCUUAACAGACCAAUAAUGAGUAAUGAGAUUGAAGCACUAAUAAAAAGUUUCCCAUUAAAGAAAAGCACAAGACCUGAUGGCUUUACUGCUUAAUUCUAUCAAACAUUAAAAAAAUACUAAUACCAUUUCUUCUCACACUUGUCCAAAAAACUGAAGAGGAGAGAAUACUUCCUAAUUAAUUACACAAGGUCAGGGUUAUCAUAAUACCCAAACCAGGCAGGAACUCAGCAACGACAAAAGCUACAGGGUAGUAUUUACGAUGAGCAUAGAUGAAAAAUUAUACACAAAAUACCAGCACACCGAAUUCAACAACACAUUAAAAAUCAUUCAUUAUGAUCAAGUAGGAUUCAUCCCAGGGAUGCAAGGAUGGUUCAACAUAUACAAAUCAAUAAACAAAACACAUCACAUUAACAUAUCAGUGCAAUGCAAAUCGAAACCGCAAUGAGAUAGCAUCUUGCCCCAAUUAAAAUGGAUGUUAUAAAAAAGUCCAAAAGUAGCAAAUGCUGGUGAGGGUGCAGAGAAAGGGAAACACUAGUAUUUUAUGACUGACAAUGUAUAAUAAAUUAGUAUAGUUACUGUGAAAAACAAUUUCGAGCUUCCUCAAAAAACUAAAAAUGGAACUAUCAGACAGGUGUAGUGUUGCACAACUGUAGUUCCUGCUGCUCAGAAGACUAAGGCAGGAGGAAGGCUUGAGCCCAGGAGUUUGAGGAUGCAGUGAGUUAUGAUCACAUGACAGCACACCAGCCUGGAUGACAGAGUGAGUCCCUGUUUCUACAAAAGACAUUAAAAAUAAAUAAAUGAAAGUAGAACUACAAUAUAAUCCAGAAUUCCACCACUAGGUAUAUAACCAAAAGAAAAGCAAUUAGUAUAUGUUGAAUACGUGUGCUUGUUUAUUGCAGCAUCAUUCACAGUAGCCAAGAUACGGAAUCAAACUGUUUAUCAAUUGAUAAACAGAUUUUGUAAUAUACAUAAUGGAAUAUUAUUCAGCCAUAAAAAAUGAAAUUUUGUCAUUUGCAGCAACAUGGAUGAAAUUAGAGGACACUAUGUUUAGUGAAAUAAACCAUGCACAUUAAUAACAAAUAUCACACAUUCUCACUCAGAUGUGAAAGCUCAGAUGUUGCUCUCAUGGUGGUAGAGAGUAAGAUGAUGGUUACCAGAGGCUGUGAAGUACUGAGGAAGGGGGGAUAAAAUGAAGCUGGGUAAUCAACACAAAAAUACAGUUAGAUAGAAAAAGUAAGUUCUAGUCUUUGCUAGUGCAGUUGAGUGACCGUAGUUAGCAAUAAUUUAUUGUACAUUUCAAAAUAGCUAAAUAAUAAUAUUUGAAAUAUUCCCAAUACAAAGGAGUGGCAAAUAUUUGAAGCAAUAUUACUGACAGAUACUGAUAUUUAUCCUAAUUACUCUUGAUUUAAUCAUUAUAUGUUGUAUACUUGCCUCAAAUUACUACAUGUACCCCAUAAAUAUGUACAAUUAUUAUUAUUAAUAAAAAAGAAUUACAGCUAGAAUAAGUUUAAACACAUCAAAUAUGGUAAUUUUUUUUGCUUUUAUAAUAAUACUAAACAACAUCAAACAAUGAUUUUAAAAGUAUUCUCUUUGAUUAAACUUUGAGGAUGUUUGGGAAACAACUCACUAUUUUGAAAACUAAUAAAUAAGGGAAUAUUAAACAUUCCAUUAUUUCCUAUACAAACUAUGCCUCAGGGUCAGCAAAUAGUUGAUGAUAAUUUUUUUUCUUUAUGAAAGUUUUCCAGCUAAAUUAUGGAAAAGAAAAUACAUAAUGGAAACAGUACAGAAGAGAGGGACAUAUUUUAAAUGACAUCAUAUGGAUUUAACUGAAACCUGAAGCAUCAGAAUUGAAAUCUAAAGCAUCAGAAAUCAUAGUAGGAGACAAAUCAACUAAUUUGCUCAUCAAGUAUUUUCUGAAAAGGUGGAUUGCUGCUUCAAAGGACCUGGACCCAGAGGCCCUGUCCAUGAAUGUUUCUUGCUUGGUUCCGAGGCCACCAAACAUACUGGCUGAGCCUUCUGUAUUCACCCUGGCCUAUCAAUGCCAUCUAUGAGAGCAGCCACACUGAGAGAGCAGCAGCAUGGAGCCUACUCAAGGGUUUGUUUCAAAAAUAUAUGGAAAACAAGAAAAACCAAAAGAGGAAACCAUUUCUAAUGAGGAGACUAGUUCAAUUAUUCUGAAGUCAAGCCCUGCUAAUCAAGGAGGAUGGGAUCUUUUAUGAAGAAAUGGAUUGGGAAGAAAAACAUAAGAUAAGGUUGGAACCUCUUCUGGUGCAAGAAGGUCCUAAAUAUUACUGAGGAUCUCUCAUCUUCUAGGUGAAGCUCACAAAAUUGCCCUGGAGGUUGCUGCCUUCCUGGAAGCCAGAGUGAAAAAAAAAAAGAGGACAUGCAGUUGCACAUGGGAGGAUUUUGUGGGCCAUGGUUAUCAGGGCACAAUCCCUUAGCUCACCUUUCUCUGGUGAGAAAACACUUCCAGUGCCACACCUCAGUCUCCUCCCUCUGGUGAAAAAAACACUUCCAGUGCCACACCUCAGCCUCCUUCCUCUGGUGAAAAAACAGUUCCAGUGCCAUACCUCAGCCUUUCCUCUGGUAAAAAACACUUCCAGUGCCACACCUCAGCCUCCCUCCUCUGGUGAAAAAACACUUCCAGUGCUACACCUCAGCCUCCUUCCUCUGGUGAAAAAAUACUUCCAGAGCCACACCUUACCCUCCUUCCUCUGGUGAGAAACUACUUCCAGUGCCACACCUCAGCCUCCUUCCUCUGGUGACAAAACACUUCCAGUGCCACAACUCAGCCUCCUUCGACUGGUGAGAAAACACUUCCAGUGCCACACCUCAGCCUCCUUCCUCUGCUGAGAAAACACUUCCAGUGCCACAGCUCAGCCUCCUUCCUCUGGUCACAAAACACUUCCAGUACUACACAUCACUGCUGGAGAACUGGAGAGUGGAGUCUUCCAGCCCAAGAAGAAAGAAAUAUAGGAUUUUGUCAAGUACCAGAAGUUUCUGCCACACUCAGUGGGCAUUCUUUGACAGAGAGGGUACAGAAGCUGAUUUUGUGAUUGAUUGGAAUGGGACAGCAGUGAGGAGCCACCAUUUUGCUCACAGAUGAAAGAUCACCCAUUGUAAGAGGCUGCCUGAAGAGAAAACAAGCAAGAAAGACUGGCCAAAUUUGCAGUGCGGAGGUCCAGGAAAGAGCCUGGAUAGUGAGCAGGUUGUUUGCUGCCGACCCUAAAGAUGCAGGAAUCCAGCCAUGACCAUGCAGUUUUGGCCACACAAAUACCUUUGUUCAGAGAGGUUUUCAGCUGAGGUGACAUUUCUGCAAACAAAGUAGACUUGGCUUCCCUGGAAAGUGAUGGAACCAUUGAAAAGCCAGAAAAAUAAAGAGUUUUAAUGGAGUAAAAAUUACAAAUGCCACAUGGCAUAUGGGAUACAUUGUGAAGAAGUAAUCAUGAGACUAGAAGCCAUAGAUUUAAUAAGACUCGAUUCUCACCACAUGUACAAACAGAAUUAGGAAUAAAUCGCAUACAAUGAUCCCGGUAGAAGACACAAAACUUCCACGUCAGAGACAAAGGAUUUCAUUACUCAUGGCAAAAGCAGGAAUCAGAGCUUCACAUUUGCUGGUGUCAAUUUCUCAUACCCUCAAAUCCCAGAAGCAUGACACAAAAGAGUCCAUGAUGGAUGUCUGAAUACACAGUGGGCUGUGUUAGAAGAGAGUAACACUGAGCUCAGGUGAUCUCUGCUUCUGUAGUAAGCUUGCACUUUGUCUCGGGGGAGACAUUCCCUCAUCACUCAAGACUGUUCCCUGCAAACACAACCUUGAAUAAUGGCCCAGAAGAGUGGUGAGAGUUCUAAAUUCCUGGCACUUCCAGCAAGUAUGCUCAGGAACACCAGGGCCCAAAGUGGAUUGCCUCUUCCUAAAAAUAUGUUUAUGACUGAAGCCCUUUCCUUUAAAAUGUUAGGUGAAUAUGGAUCUUUUAUUUGCUGUCCUAUUUCAUUUUCAAUAAUUCUGAGUAUGACUCACCAAAAUGAUUUCACAAAAUAAUCUGUAGUAACCUUCAAUUUAAACAACAAACAAAUAAAAAAAAUUGCUAUGUUAAGUAUAUAUUUGAGAGUGUAAUUGCAGAAUUACAUUCUUCCUUAACAUACAAUGUGAAUGGUUUUAUAAAGUGAUUUGUCAGUUAUUUAUCAUUUGCUUUUCACAAGCGGUGUAUGAAUAUUCCCCUUGCCAUAUGUCUCCACCACCACUUGGUUUUGUCAGACAUUUAUUGUUUGAUAAUCAAAUACUGCAUAAUUAUAUCUGAUUUGGUUGUAAUUUGCAUUUUACUUAUUAUUAAUGAGGUUUAGCAUUGCCAUAUGUGUAUAAGUCAUUUGUUUUUCAUUGUCUGUUAAAUGUCUGCAUAUGACUUUGGCCCGUUUUAAAAUUGAGAUAUUUCUUUCUUUUAGAUUGAUACAUGAAUUAUUUACAUUUGUGAGUUAUGAAUAUUGUCAAUAACGUCUCACUGUAGAUCAAUUUUUCACUGAAUUUCUGGUAUCAUUUUAUAAAUUAAAUUUAUUUUAAUGUUUCAAGUAUUCUAUUUUAAACUGAUAUUUUAUGGUAUUUGUCAUGUAUAAGAACUCAUUCUAGAUCAUUAGUCAUAAAGAUAUUCAUCUAAAUUUUCUUCAAAACUGUUAAAUGUCUUUAACAUUUAAGUCCUAAAUACAUCUGAACUGGUCCAAUAAUCCAAAUGAAUCAAAUAUCUAAGAAAAACUGUAACAAAGGAAGAGACAAAUCUAUAGAGAGUACAUUAUAAAACAUUCUUGAGGGAGAAUCAAUAUGAACCUAAAUUAAUAGAAAACUAUUUAUGGAGGGAAAGACAGUAUGUAAAGAAGCAAAUUAUCUUCAAUUCAUCUGUAAAUUUACUGCAAUCUCAAUAAAAAGUCAAGUAGAAGCUUUUUUGUUGAAAUUGAUAAGCCAAUAAUAAAUUGUAAAUAUUCAAAGAUCUAAUGAUAGCUAAUGCAAUAUUGAAGAUAAACUGAAAUUUUGGAGAAUCAAGACUUAUUUGAGGAUUGCAGUAAUGAAGACAGUGAUUAAUUGUGCAAGAAUAGACAAACCAUCCAAGAAAACAAAAUAGAGAGCUGAAAAGCAGACCCAGGCUUAUAUUGAUCAGUGAUAUAGGUGGCAUAACAGGAGGGUGACAAAAAGACAGUUAUUUCCAUAAAUUGUACUUCAUCAAUUGUAUAUCUGAGAGAGAGAGAAAGAGAGAGAAAUUGUUUUUAUUCAUAGUAUAAUAUAUAAUUGCUUCUAUUCAUAGAGAGAAAGACAGAGAGAUAACUGUUUCUAUUCAUAGUAUAAGCAUCUUAAUUUCAGGUGGUUUUUAGAUUUUUAUGUGAAAGUUAAAAAUAGUAAAUCCUAAGAGAGGAUAAUAUAGAGGACGUUUUCACCACAUGGGGUAUAUAAAGAUUAAUAAAACUGGACACAAAGUCUCUGAUUAUAAAAAAAAUUGACAAAUAUUUUGACUGUAAGAGAUUAUAUUAAUAAAUACACAAUACAAUUUUAAGAGAAAUGAAAUGAGAAAUGAAAAGAGCAGCAGUAGAGUGGGAUGUCAAAGUACAUAUGACUGACAAAAAAUUACAAAAUCAAGACUAAAAUGGCAUACCACUAGAGCAGCUAUAAAUACAAAGAGUAAAAAUGCUCUUCUGUUUGGAGGACGUGAAGCAUGUUCUUGGGCACUGAUUACGUGAGUAGGUAGCUUUUCCUGAUUAUAUCCUCUGCAGAGUUUUCAUAGUGUAUCAUGUCUAGAUCACAACUGGAAAGAUCUAUGGCAAAUUCAUCAUCUGUCAAUGAGCGCAACCAAUAUUUGUUACAAUUUUACCAUGUUUAAUUGUGAAAGAGUUCUUAGAGCAUCAAAACACAUAUCCAGAAAUACUAUCCUCAAGUACCAGGCAAUAUUUAUUUUUUUUCAGUUACUUUUCUGCCCUAUAUUUAUCACUAAGCUCAUAUGAACUUUUAAUUUUUUAAAAAAACCUUUAGGUGUCUGUUUUACUCAUUCCAGAGAGAAGGAACUUAUUGGCACAUGACUGAUUUAUUAAAUACACUCAAUAAAAGUUGGCAUUUUUACAGUCAGCAAGCUCAAUAAAGUUCACAAAUAAAUCUUCUAUAGUUCUCAUAUUUACAUAUUUCUCAUAUUACUCUUUACCUAGGUAUCUAUCAACUUUGAAAGAUCCAAAAAUAGAACAUGAGGGCCAUAAUUGUCUGGAAAUGAGGAGAGGGUAUAUUUCUUUGUGAGAAUUUUUUGUGUAAAUGAGUAAGUUAAGAUGAUAUUAUAAAACCAAUUAUUAUAAAAUUCCUGAGGAUAUCCUCUAUAGCAUGUACUUUGGCAUUGAUUAUCUAUAUGAGUAGGUAGCUUUUCCUGAUUACAUCCUUUAUAAAGUUUUCAUAGCAUAUCAUAGCUAUGAAAAUAUUUUUCAGAAAAAGAUAAACCACACAGGAAUAAAUGAUAAAGUGAAUGAUAACUUUUCAGUUAAAAAAAGAACUAAAUGUACAAUGAAAUUUGGGACUAAAUAAAUGGCACUUCUGCACAAUUCAGAUCUUUUUCCCCCUUAUGCUGAGCCUACUUUGUUGUUUUGCAUAACCUACAACAUGUAGACAUCUCAGUUAGAGACCUCUAUCCCAUACCCUUUUUCCCCAAAAGUUCUUUCCUUUCAUCAGUGAUGGCUGAGUCGAUUCUUAGACUAGUUCCAAUGUAUUCCCUUGAUGUAAUCAUCAGAUCUGUCUCCCCUCAGCACCUUGUUUGGGGAUGCUUCUCAUUCUCUAUGCCUAGGUACAAUUUCAAAUCCAGAGUUGGAGCUGUCAUCUUCAUAAAUUCUCCUUAGAUUAUAGGAGUUCACAAAAUCUUGUCAUUUCUGUGUACUCUUCUCGGUCUUAAGAAAUGUUUCUCCUGGAAUAACCUGUGGUCACCCUCUGAUAGGUAUGUUCUGUUAUUAUGUUUUUGUGUAAAUUUUGUCAAGCUAAUGUAACUGUGAUUUUAUUUCACAUGAUCUAUAGGGCCUUACACAAACCUGAACCUAAUAAAGACAUGUGGGACAUAAUCUCAAAAUGAUAUCACUGAAACUCAUUUCCAACCCAAUUAAACUGUUCUCCUAGGGUUGGUUGACAGUCCAGAAUUAUUAGGCUUCUCAGUGGAGCCAGAACAAUCUGUCCAGUGAUACUUGAUCCGAUCAAGUGUUUUCAUGGGUGGUUUGGAAACCAUGUCUUGCUUUGCAGAUGUUAUUUAUCACAAAGUUGCCCCUAGCCCUUUAAUGUUGAGGAUUUGAUAUUAGUGGAGUUGUGGAAGUGAAAUUAUUAGGGUGUCCUUAAAGUCCUUUUCCAUAAAUGAAUGAUUUAUUGGAGCAAUGAAAGAAAGGAAUAAGUUUGCCUGCUCAAUAUAGCCCGUCAUUUUUGAUGAAUGUGACUCACCUUUCUGUAAGAAGUUCAAUUUAGCACUGGUACCAAUUCUUGAAUUUUAUAGAGAAGGAAAUUGUAAAAUGUCUUAGAAAUGUGGCCACGGAGAGAACAAACUGAGGUUGAAUGAUGCAAAAUCAGAACUACACUGAAUGCAACGUAAUGCCAAUGCUGUUCAAUGCCAAGAGACUUACAGGAUAAAAUUUGGCUUUUUCCUUUUGAAAUAAUAUUAGCUUGCUAUUGAGUAAAAUCAGGUAGCAACACUUCAUAACUCCAUUACCUACCUGUUUUGUAUUCAUUAAAGUGUGGCUUUCUUGGCCUGACUGUCAGUGGUAUGCUGAGAUGGCUUGCCACAGCUCCAGAGUGCAUUGUAUAUAUUUCUUCUUGACUUCACGUUAAGUGACAUUAUGUUGGUAGCUUGGAAUUGGUCAUGAUGAAGCUAUAUAUACCAGGAAAACUGGCACAUGCUGCAAAUGAAGGCUCCUGCUCUUCCAGAGAUCUAACUGUUAAGUAUUUAUCAGCAUACUACUAACCUGUGUUCAAAGGUUGAACUGCAGAAGCCUCU